rnacentral:siRNA from 1 species
CCAACGGUUAGGAUAAUUGCC